CCUACGGGAGGCAGCAGUGGGGAAUAUUGGGCAAUGGGCGCAAGCCUGACCCAGCAACGCCGCGUGAAGGAAGAAGGCUUUCGGGUUGUAAACUUCUUUUCUCAGGGACGAAGCAAGUGACGGUACCUGAGGAAUAAGCCACGGCUAACUACGGGCCAGCCGCCGCGGUAAUCCGUAGGUGGCACGCGUUAUCCGGAUGUACUGGGUGUAAAGGGCGUGUAGGAGGGAAAGCAAGUCAGAUGUGAAAACCAUGGGCUCAACCUGUGUACUGCAUUUGAUACUGUUUUUAUUGAGUACAGGAGAGGCAGACGGAAUUCCUAGUGUAGCGGUGAAAUGCGUAGAUAUUAGGAGGAACACCAGUUGCGAAGGCGGUCUGCUGGACAGCAACUGACGCUGAGGCGCGAAAGCGUGGGGAGCAAACAGGAUUAGAUACCCCUGUAGUC
rnacentral:rRNA from 1 species